rnacentral:rRNA from 1 species
UACGAAGGGGGGCUAGCGUUGUUCGGAAUUACUGGGCGUAAAGCGCACGUAGGCGGAUUGUUAAGUCAGAGGUGAAAAUCCCGGAGCUCAACUUCGGAACUGCCUUUGAUACUGGCAAUCUAGAGUCCGGAAGAGGUUAGUGGAAUUCCCAGUGUAGAGGUGAAAUUCGUAGAUAUUGGGAAGAACACCAGUGGCGAAGGCGGCUAACUGGUCCGGUACUGACGCUGAGGUGCGAAAGCGUGGGGAGCAAAACAGG